rnacentral:lncRNA from 1 species
ACAACAACAACAACAAACCCAGUGUAUUCCCACCUAGUGGGGUCUGGGGGGGGGAGAUGUACGCAGUCCAUACCUCUACCUCUGAUGAAGUAGAAAGGCUGUUUCCGAUAGACCCCCGGCUCAAGGCACGAGAUACCACACAAACUCAUACUGCAGCACAGAAGCAGAUUACAUAACAUAAAUACGGCACCCAUAAGUAAUAUAAAGCAGAGGAAAGCAGGGGAAAGCACACAGAUUCGUAAUACAACAUGGAACACGGAACACGGAAUCAUC